rnacentral:rRNA from 1 species
CAGGCCUAACACAUGCAAGUCGAACGAGAAGCCGGGCUUCGGCCCGGUGGACAGUGGCGCACGGGUGAGUAACGCGUGGGAACCUGCCCAUGAGUGGGGAAAAACGGUUGGAAACGACCGCUAAUUCCGCAUACGCCCUACGGGGGAAAGGCUUCGGCCGCUCAUGGAUGGGCCCGCGUCCGAUUAGCUUGUUGGUGAGGUAAUGGCUCACCAAGGCGACGAUCGGUAGCUGGUCUGAGAGGACGAUCAGCCACAUUGGGACUGAGACACGGCCCAGACUCCUACGGGAGGCAGCAGUGGGGAAUAUUGGACAAUGGGCGAAAGCCUGAUCCAGCCAUGCCGCGUGAGUGAUUUGAAGGCCCUAGGGUUGUAAAGCUCUUUCGGCGGGGAAGAUGAUGACGGUACCCGCAGAAGAAGCCCCGGCUAACUCCGUGCCAGCAGCCGCGGUAAUACGGAGGGGGCUAGCGUUGCUCGGAAUCACUGGGCGUAAAGCGAGCGUAGGCGGCCGCGCAAGUCGGGGGUGAAAGCCCGGGGCUCAACCCCGGAACUGCCCUCGAAACUGCGUGGCUAGAGGCCGGGAGAGGAGAGUGGAAUUCCCAGUGGAGAGGUGAAAUUCGCAGAUAUUGGGAGGAACACCGGUGGCGAAAGCGGCUCUCUGGAACGGUUCUGACGCUGAGGCUCGAAAGCGUGGGGAGCAAACAGGAUUAGAUACCCUGCUAGUCCACGCCG